rnacentral:lncRNA from 1 species
UUUAUUUCUUAACAAUACACAAUAUUUUUAUUAAAGAGCGGUCAUUUUGUUAACAGAGCAGUCAUCCUUGGGUAAUGCAGCGUCACAACGGAAAGUGUCUGCGAUCUAUCUGAAAUGGAAAACAAACAAAGUCAUUUUAUCUUCCUGAUUAUCAUUAACAAUUACGACUACUGUCAAGAAUAAUAUCUUACUUAUGGGAUAUUUUUUGAAAAAUAUUGACAAAGCCAGUUCGAGUUGGAUGUCGUACAAGUUUUGGAGGAAUGUUCUGGACCUCCAGAAAGCACUUCUCAGCAUCCGGUCCAUUAUCAUUCUUUGUGCUAAAGAAAGCACGGUGCUUUCAAUCCCUCGAAUUGGCCAUUUCAAGGGAAUAUGAAUAUCACGUUCCAAUUCUAUAUGAGUAAUAGUAGCGUAGUUAUUUUCCAUUUUUUUACUGUGAGGAACCUAGUAGAUAAACGUGUGGUACGAAAUUCGGGACAGACUGCCGUGUUAAACGUGCUUAGGGCGACAUUUGAAGUACUUGUAGAAGUUAUAUACCUUAUAUGUAAGUUAUGGUGUUUGACAAUACUAUUAUACAAUGUUUGUCUACGCUUUAUUUGCAAGCGGUGAACACACGUAGUACUUAGGUUUAUUUCAUAGUUGAAUACAGUAGAAGAUAGUUAGCAAAGUAUAAUGAUGGAUACUGACAUUAGAAUGUUUAUACUAUGUUAUGAUGAACCACUGAUUAUUUUGAUGACACGAUAAUAAAAUUACGAAAAUAUGAGACGAUGUGAUACGCAAGAAGGAGACUGAUGUAUCCACAGCCUAGGAUAAAAAAAAACAUGAAAGUGACAAUGAUCAAGAUUAGAGUAGUCUUUUCAUACUGCAAUGAAUUUGGUAAACAGCAGAAGUCGCCUCUUUUUUGCUCAUUGGGUUCGACGUCAACUCUGUAACAACACUGUAAUAAGUCUUUUGGAGAUUCCGCAAACCACUAACUAGUAGAUGUAAAUUUCACUUACACUUUAAUAGGCAUGUCAAUUUUCUAAAAUAGUUACGUCCGUCAAUUCAGAAAACAGUUUAUGUAAUGGCAACUGAGCUCCAGAUUGUCCAAGUUAUAUAAUCGGAAAUAAUUGCUUAUUCUGCGUCACUUAUUUUAAUUAUCUUAACCGGAUCCUGAGUCUUAUCAAUCUAACGACCUAUUUUUUAAAACAAAUAUGUCUAUCUUUCAUUCAUAAACUGGCCUUACUCAAUAUCAAUGUUAUUGAAUUAAUUAAUUAGGUAUUUGGUUUUAUUGCAAAGUUAUGAGCAAGGAGGGUUCGAAACGGUAUGCCCUUGAGAGUUUACGAUGUUGUUGUUCGUAGCGCAUGGCCAUUUCUCCCUAUUAGAAAUAAAAAUGCGGCUCGCACACGAUAAUAUAAACAUAUGACGAACAACAGAAUAGUCAGCUGGUGAUUUUCACAGGUGUCAGUCGUAACAACUGAACAUUAACCUCUACACGGAGAAAAAUUAAUAAUAGUAUUUACUAUACGAAAAUAUUAACUCCUAGUAUCUGAAAUGAGAAAAUGGCAAUGAAAAAUUCAUUAAAGUUAUUGAUGAUGGUAUUCAAGCAAUGACUUCCCAUGAUGCUAAAAAUGCUCUGUACUUUAAGGAUACUUGUGAACAACAACAGAUUUAUUCCAGCUGAUGGCGGAUUUUACUGCUUCGAUUGUAUUCAGUUUUUAUGAAUACAUAAUCAGGAAUCAAUCAACAAAAUCAUUAAAACCAAGGAGUUGAAGCAAAAUUCAAUCUAUUCAAUCAUUUUUCCUGUUUUCAGUGGAUUUUAAAACUUUUCGUUAUUCAAUGAAAAACUGAAGAAGACAAAUUGGAUGAGUAAUAACACAAAAAUCACCCAUAAUCGAUGCUGGCUGGAGAUAAUAAAUUAUAAACAAUACUAACACUUUAUUACACUACGAUUCGCAUUACUAAUUUCUAAAUGCUUUUUGAAAUUUAUAUCCAAGUAGAAUAGUUGCUUAUUAUUUUUAUGACGCUUCCAAUUAUUACUUUUAUCCUCGAAACAUUUUUAUCAAUUUUUAUUUACAUGUUUUUCUCCGUACAUGAAUAUUUUCCAAAUUUUCAUUUCCUUUUACCUGUAACAUAGGCAAUUCGGACUUUAUUGAAGUUUUUAGAAGAUUGGGAAAAAAUAUAUACUCACACGAAAACUCCUAAUGCUUCUACUCCAAAGAAUUCUAAUCCAAAAAAUACAGUUUCAAAGAAAAUCACUCCUAGACAAUACAUAUCAAAAAAUUUAACCUUAAAUCAAGUAAUUCCACAAAAUACGAUCUCAAAAAAAGCGACUCCUAAAUCCACAUAAAAAAAAAAUUCUUUUCCAACAUCUGCUAGCACUAUAUCCGGUUUUAAAGUCACCUUACGAGUAGCACUACAAAUUUUAUCAGAGUUACACGAUAACUAUGGAUACGAAUAUCUCAUAACAUCACGUUUGACUCAAGACAAUCUCGAGAGAUUAUUUUCAAUCAUGAGAUAUUCUUGUGGUGCCAAUGAUCACCCAACACCCCAGCAGUUUAGUCAAGUUUUCCGAUUAUAUUGCUGCAAUGCCAUGAUUAAGCCUCCAAAAGGCUCAAAUGUCACUGGAGUUGAACUGCUUCAAACUCUGAUGAAAACAGAAGAUUCAUUAAAAAUGUCUCGUCAACCACGAAUGGAGUGGUUAGAAAAAAUUGACAAGAUGCUGGAAAGGGCUGUGCCAAUUGGUGAUAUUUGUAACGAUAAUUCAUCCAACGAUGCAAAUGGAAGUUCUGUGAGUUCAAUUGAUUUAAACGCCUCUGAAGCAUUGACUACUGAACCAACAUCGAGGAUUUAAACAACUCUAGAGUUCCUCAAACAUCAUGAUUAUGAUGUUGUGUCUACUAGUCGAAAAGUUCAAGCGUAUAUGGCUGGGUAUAUCGUAAGAAAAAUGAAAUUAAAAUGUAAAUGCUUAUCAUGCUUCUAUACUCUUCAAUCAUCUAACGAUGAACCGAAUUGUCGUGAUCGGUUUAUUGACUUGAUGAAAAAAUAUGGAGGACUAUCGAGGGCUUCUGACAAUUUAUUUCAACUCACCAUGCAAUUAGAAGCUGCUUUUUUAGAUGUUGUUGGCAGUGUAGGGUUAAGCCGUGGCAUCAUAUAUAAAAUAUUGAAUAGAAUUGAAAGUAUGCUACCACAAUUAUCGUUUGUUGGAUGUGGGAUCCAUCAGCUCGAAAAAACAAAAGAUAUAAUCGAUUUUUAUAUAACUAUGCGACUAUAUUUUCUGGGUAAAACUUUCAACAAAAGGAAUCAAUUAAAAAGAGAAAAGAUGAAAACUUUAAAAAAAACUUCGAAGUUAGUGACCUAAAAAAUCUUAUUGAAAUAAACCUGAGAAACCCAUCUUGAAUUUUAAUUGAUAAGAUUAACAUCUUCUAUCUGAUAAAAAAAA